rnacentral:rRNA from 1 species
UACGUAGGGGGCAAGCGUUGUCCGGAUUUAUUGGGCGUAAAGCGCGUGUAGGCGGCUUUGCAAGUCGGGUGUGAAAGCCCUCAGCUCAACUGAGGAAGUGCGCCCGAAACUGCAGAGCUUGAGUACCGGAGAGGAUGGCGGAAUUCCCCAAGUAGAGGUGAAAUUCGUAGAUAUCGGGAGGAACACCGGUGGCGAAGGCGGCGACCUGGGUCGAGACUGACGCUGAGGCGCGAAAGCGUGGGGAGCAAACAGG